UGGGGAAUUUUGGACAAUGGGCGAAAGCCUGAUCCAGCAAUGCCGCGUGUGUGAAGAAGGCCUUCGGGUUGUAAAGCACUUUUGUCCGGAAAGAAAUCCUUGGCUCUAAUACAGUCGGGGGAUGACGGUACCGGAAGAAUAAGCACCGGCUAACUACGUGCCAGCAGCCGCGGUAAUACGUAGGGUGCAAGCGUUAAUCGGAAUUACUGGGCGUAAAGCGUGCGCAGGCGGUUUGCUAAGACCGAUGUGAAAUCCCCGGGCUCAACCUGGGAACUGCAUUGGUGACUGGCAGGCUAGAGUAUGGCAGAGGGGGGUAGAAUUCCACGUGUAGCAGUGAAAUGCGUAGAGAUGUGGAGGAAUACCGAUGGCGAAGGCAGCCCCCUGGGCCAAUACUGACGCUCAUGCACGAAAGCGUGGGGGAGCAAAACAGGAUUAGAUACCCUGGUAGUCCACGCCCUAAAACGAUGUCAACUAGUUGUUGGGGAUUCAUUUCCUUAGUAACGUAGCUAACGCGUGAAGUUGACCGCCUGGGGAGUACGGUCGCAAGAUU
rnacentral:rRNA from 1 species